GGGUGAGUAACACGUGGAUAACCUACCUAUAAGACUGGGAUAACUUCGGGAAACCGGAGCUAAUACCGGAUAAUAUUUUGAACCGCAUGGUUCAAAAGUGAAAGACGGUCUUGCUGCCACUUAUAGAUGGAUCCGCGCUGCAUUAGCUAGUUGGUAAGGUAACGGCUUACCAAGGCAACGAUGCAUAGCCGACCUGAGAGGGUGAUCGGCCACACUGGAACUGAGACACGGUCCAG
rnacentral:rRNA from 1 species